GAUGAACGCUGGCGGCGUGCCUAAUACAUGCAAGUCGAGCGAACAGACGAGGAGCCUGCUCCUCUGACGUUAGCGGCGGACGGGUGAGUAACACGUGGAUAACCUACCUAUAAGACUGGGAUAACUUCGGGAAGCCGGAGCUAAUACCGGAUAAUAUAUUGAACCGCAUGGUUCAAUAGUGAAAGACGGUUUUGCUGUCACUUAUAGAUGGAUCCGCGCCGCAUUAGCUAGUUGGUAAGGUAACGGCUUACCAAGGCAACGAUGCGUAGCCGACCUGAGAGGGUGAUCGGCCACACUGGAACUGAGACACGGUCCAGACUCCUACGGGAGGCAGCAGUAGGGAAUCUUCCGCAAUGGGCGAAAGCUUGACGGAGCAACGCCGCGUGAGUGAUGAAGGUCUUCGGAUCGUAAAACUCUGUUAUUAGGGAAGAACAAAUGUGUAAGUAACUAUGCACGUCUUGACGGUACCUAAUCAGAAAGCCACGGCUAACUACGUG
rnacentral:rRNA from 1 species